GAUCCACCCCAAACGUUCCUCCAGCCUCACCCACAGGGAUCUCAAAAUUGAAAGCAGGUCACUCCUCUCCUUGGCUUGAAACUGCCACGGCUGCCUGUCUCCCUACGGAUAUCACACCAAAAGCUCCCUGGGGCCUAAAGGCCCUGCACCAUCUGCCCGCACCCCCCAGCUCCUCCUGCUCCCCCUCACUCACUCUGAUCCGGCCGCACAGGCCUCCCUGCUCUUCUCAGAAGGAACCGUAACCCCAAUGUCACUUGGAGUACAGAUGUUUUGGGGCGGCGGGCUCCUCCUCCACCCCCCAUUUCUGGGCUACUGAUUGUUCCAAUCCAAGUGAACGUGAACGCUGGGUCUUUGGCAGAAAGGUGCCUUCCAUUCUGUUGGCUGCCAUAUCAGGACACCCGGAGUAAGCAGGGCAUCCCCGUUUUGAGCUGCUGAAACCACCCUCACCUGACCCGGGGAAGGCUUUGACUGGGAAGUCUGUAAGGACAGCAUUUGGCACAGAUCCGUUUUCCUUUUCGCUUCCAUUGCAUCAAGCAAGUGAGAUGAGCAUUUAGGAAAAGCGGAAAUCAUCUCCGACGACCGCCACCAAAUGAUACAGUAUUCAUUUCAGAAACUAUAAUGUAACAACUUUUGUAACAUCGGCUCUGAAUAAUCAUCAUAAAAGGUCUUGCCUC